CGGAAGCAAAUCAACUUAACUUGUGCACCUAGCAUGAGAAAGAAUGCAUGACCUUAACUUAUCCAAAUUGCACUUAGAGUGAUCCUUCAGUACUAGAGGCCUAUCAAAUACUUUUGCUGACAGAUAAAGGGGCCUUGUCGUCGCCUAUCGGCAACACCCAUAAUGUGAGCCUUAUAACAUUCUUAUUGUCACCUAUCGAUGACGGUCAGGUUAUGAGCUUUAUAGCUUAUUGGAAGUCACCCGUUGGUGACACCCACAUUGUGAGCCUUAAACUUGUUGUGCACCUCCACACAUGAGGCCUCAUAGUGACCUAGGAUUCUCUAGUAGUCCUUACUUAAACUAAGUCACAGCCAAAGGUGUACUAAGACUUGUACAUGACUUACUCAUACCUACGUGCCAUGGUUUAGACACAGUUAUAUACACCAAUCCAAGAACUUAGGUAGCAGCCAC
rnacentral:lncRNA from 1 species